rnacentral:lncRNA from 1 species
AUUUUGUUUAAUGUGACAUGUUCACUAGUCACUUAAUCACUACGGAAACUAACAAAUAUUUAACAAAGAAGCACAAAAGAGCAUAUAGACAAAAAAUAUUAGCAAAGACAAGAUUGCAAAAAAUAUCCAUAGCACAAUAACACAACGACGGGAUGUGUAAGUACACAGACACGUCAUGUAACAAAGAAACACAAAAGGCAUAUAGAAAAACUAUAUUACCAAAAAUAAAAGACACGAAUAAAGGAUAUUGAUCUUAAAAUAAAAAAUCCCGAUUUACAACAAAAUAUCCUUUGUGCAUUUGUUAACUAUGACAAGAAAAAAAUUCAACCGACUCCUGUGAAUUCUAAAACUGUAUGAACAUGUAAUUAUCAAUUAAACUUUCAAAUGAUGUACCAGGUAAUUUAGCACCAUAUAUUUAUAAACUACAAAACUGCAAUUGAUAAUGUAAAUGUCAUCACUUUGUUACGUAAUAGAAAACAAAUGAACACUUAAGCAAUCGUUUCGUUUGUUUGGGUAACAGUGGUAUUCCAAUGCUAAUUUUAGCAUGACUACCCG